GAUGAACGCUGGCGGCGUGCCUAAUACAUGCAAGUAGAACGCUGAAGCUUGGUGCUUGCACCGAGCGGAUGAGUUGCGAACGGGUGAGUAACGCGUAGGUAACCUGCCUCUUAGCGGGGGAUAACUAUUGGAAACGAUAGCUAAUACCGCAUAAAAGUCGAUAUCGCAUGAUAUUGAUUUGAAAGGUGCAAAUGCAUCACUAAGAGAUGGACCUGCGUUGUAUUAGCUAGUUGGUGAGGUAACGGCUCACCAAGGCGACGAUACAUAGCCGACCUGAGAGGGUGAUCGGCCACACUGGGACUGAGACACGGCCCAGACUCCUACGGGAGGCAGCAGUAGGGAAUCCUCGGAAAUGGGGGCAACCCUGAACGAGCAACGCCGCGUGAGUGAAGAAGGUUUUAGGAUCGUAAAGCUCUGUUGUAAGAGAAGAACGAGUGUGAGAGUGGAAAGUUCACACUGUGACGGUAACUUACCAGAAAGGGACGGCUAACUACGUG
rnacentral:rRNA from 1 species